AGUUUAAUUAGGUCCCAUUUGUUUAUUUUUGCUCUUAUCGACAUCUCUUGGAUCUGGGCCAACUUUUGUGAUUUGUUUUGGCCAGCAGAAUGCUCUAGAAGAAUAAUGUACCAGCCUAAAGAGGCUUUGUGUGCUUCUGCCCAGCAGCCACAUGAACAAGCCCUGGUGCCCUCGGGAGGAUGGGAAGCCGAGUGGAGCAGAGGUGGCUCCUCCCACCGGGGCCCCAGCUGACCUGCCAACUGACCACCCAGGCCCAGCUGAAAUCAGCCACACCUGCCCAGACGGUGACGAUUUCAUGCAUAUGUGGUCGAAGUGAAGCUGCUUUCCCUUCUUCCAAAGCUGGUCAUCGCAGGCAAGCAGUGUCGUGACAGGCUGGGGCACGGGCAUCUGCAGCAUCCGUCAUCAGUAGGGAGGCUGGAGUGCUUGAGUCCCUGGCUUAUCAAAAGGAUAACAUAGGCAAGUCAGAAACCAGCCAGGCUCUGCCAGGAUGUGUGUUCUUAUCAAGAUGGUCUGUUGUCAUAAUUCAGUGCUGUAAACAAAGGCUUCCUCAAUGCUCCCAGAAUCAGAGGACAUGCGAGAGAGGAGACUCGAGGAGGAAUCAUCUAGUUUGGUGUACCACACACUGCACGAUUGCUGUCUGCAAGGAGAAGUGUCUGCAAGGUCUCCAUCUCAUCGCUGGAGUUGCCAGCUACCCCCACCGUCUUCCCUUCCUCUUCAGAACUCCAGCUAUGCCCAGAAGUGCCCCCAGAGACACCCAUUUGAAUUACAGUUCUUGACUGUUCUGUCCCAAGGGCACUGGAUUUCGGAAACCAGGGCGGAAAUGUUUUGGACGACCACAGCCAUGGCUCGGUUUAUAUGGCUCGGCGAGAUCAGUUGAGGGGCAGUGUCUCCGGACCCCGCUUUCCUGGGCUGUCGGUCCCCUGACCUGCAGCCUCUCGGCCCUGCAGUCUGUGCAGCUGGGGGAAGAAGAGGGGAAAAGCGCAGGAGAAGUGCUCGCUCAGCCUCGUCCGCCGUGGGAAGGCGCUGCUCCUCGCCGGGCGCCGCCCUCUUCUCUGUCUUGCCGCUGCACGGGUCCCCUCCGCACCACAGGGCACAUCCGGCUGGCGGUGGCUGCUCAGCCACUUUGUCCCCUUGCCAGGCGUCCCUUCGUCGCCCUUUCCCAGGUCGUCCCAGGGCGCUUUCCCUCCAGAAGCCCCUUGGACGCAGGUGAGACAGUUCGCACAGAGGUUGGGAGCUGGAGCGCCCUGAAACACAUCUGCAAACGCGGAAAAUUUCCCUUUUGUGUACUCCCUACACAUUUGACAGGAAUUAACGUUUCCCCCAGGGGGGAGCCAGUUUCACAUAUUGAAACCAAACUUUUUUCCUCCUUGGUUUUGCUCCCUCCCUUGCUCAGUCUCGGGUUCAAAAGGAACGAUUUCCUCGGAAAUCAAACCACUUGUGCUGGAGGGAGCGCAGCGGGAAGCAGGCGGUGAGGACGCCCGGGUUCAGUCGGGGGGCUGUGGCCCGGGUUCAGCCCACCGUCCUGAGAGCUGCAGGCCUGUCACCACGCAUAUCCCGCCCUGGCGCCCGGGCCGGCGAGAGGGAGAGCCUGUUUUCCCUGGAAAAAUAAUAAA